rnacentral:rRNA from 1 species
AACACGUACGCAACCUUCUCAGAGCGGGAAUAGCCUCUCGAAAGAGAGAUUAAUACCCAUAGUAUCUCGAAACUGCAUGGUUUUGAGAUUAAAGCUUCGGCACUUUGAGAUGGGCGUGCGGCUGAUUAGGUAGUUGGUAGGUAACGGCCUACCAAGCCAACGAUCAGUAGCUGAUGUGAGAGCAUGAUCAGCCACACGGGCACUGAGACACGGGCCCGACUCCUACGGGAGGCAGCAGUGAGGAAUAUUGGUCAAUGGAGGAAACUCUGAACCAGCCAUGCCGCGUGAAGGAUGAAGGUCCUCUGGAUUGUAAACUUCUUUUAUAGAAGAAGAAACCCCAUUAUUCUUAAUGGGUUGACGGUACUCUAUGAAUAAGCACCGGCUAACUCCGUG